CAGCUCUCCAUUCUGAAGUCACCCAAUGGGGUGCUGGGGGAAGCCGCUGGGUGCUGCUGAAGCUGGGUGCUGGAGAAGCUGUGCAAGCUGCGGGAGCCAAGCAGUGCAGCCCUGUGCAAUGCAAACACUGAUGAUAAGGGCGCCCUGGAACCGGGCAGAGAACACCUUCGUCCCCGCGGUCUCUUCUGCGCCCUCUGCUGACCACGCUUAACAUCGCGUCAGCCUACGAAGACAGUUACCAAGCCCAUCUGCAUUAUCACAGAACAGGCGAUGAUGAAUGGAUUUGGCGCUGACAGGCAAUAAAUUGAUAAUUGGCACCCUCACAGAUGUUCGUAGGAAUGAAAAGCAAAGCAGAUGGUGUCAGCGUAGAAUGAAGGGAGCAGUGAACAACAACGAGCAAGUCAUCAAAACAAGCAACUACAUAUAUGUAACAGGCAUGUAUUUCGGGCUAGCACAAACAAAGAGAUAAUCUAUUGGAAUGUCAUUCAGAUCCCAGCUGAAGUCUGGCCUCUGCCAAACCAGAUAGAUGCAGAAAAAGGACGGGAGACUACUGCAAGUUCAACUACGUAGUGACCUCAAUUUAAGCCUGUGUGCCAGCUAUGGAGGAGAGACCCAACAGAACCUCGGAAGAGCUGUUCCCAGAAUCUGUGGGGGAAUUGUGGUGGAGAAUAUUAUAUGCCUCCCAGAUCCUUCUUCAGAAUGACAAACAAAUUACAUUAGGUCCAGUGUGGGGAUCUGUACAGUGGCGAAGUUGUUAAGAUGGAACUAUAUUUCCUAGAACUUACGAAAGUAAUGUACAAGAUUUCAAAGAUGGACGGAAAGCAGACGCCAUUACUGUCUGAAGGCCAUCAUGGUUAGAUGCAAUGACAGAC
rnacentral:lncRNA from 1 species